rnacentral:rRNA from 1 species
UACCACAUGGUACAGUGUGAAAAAACUCCGGUGGUAUGAGAUGGACCCGCGUCUGAUUAGCUGGUUGGUGAGGUAACGGCCACCAAGGCGACGAUCAGUAGCCGACCUGAGAGGGUGACCGGCCACAUUGGGACUGAGACACGGCCCAGACUCCUACGGGAGGCAGCAGUGGGGAAUAUUGCACAAUGGAGGAAACUCUGAUGCAGCGACGCCGCGUGAGUGAAGAAGUAGUUCGCUAUGUUAAAGCUCUAUCAGCAGGGAAGAUAGUGACGGUACCUGACUAAGAAGCUCCGGCUAAAUACGUG